rnacentral:lncRNA from 1 species
CCGGCGUUUUACGUUUCCGCAAAUUGGCAUUACUUUUCCGGAAAAAAAAGAUGACGUUUCCGGAAAAAAAAGUUUACGUUUCCGCAAAUAAAUAUCUUACUUUUCCGGAAAAAAAGUAACUAUUCCGGAAAAAAAAAAUUAUUGCUUUUCCGCAAAUAAUUGAGGAAUACCUGUUGAUCGAAAGCAAAGCCAUAAUAUAAAAUAAAUAUUAAGUAAGUCAAAGGUCAUCAUAACAUGCAAGUAAACUUCAUCAUUUAAAUCUAUGAAAACGUAAUAUGUUCAAAAGUCAGCACUAAUCAGAAAUAUCUUGAUAUGAGUUCAUAAGUCAGUUCUGGCAGAAUAUUUGUAGCCAACACGCCGCACAAAGUCCACAGUAGUACAUUCACCGUUUACAAGUUUUGUAUUUUGUUCAAGAACUUAAGGAAGUCCAUCUUCUCCUUUUCACAUUUCCAAACGGGUGCUUUUACAGUUAGAGUUCUCAUCUUUAUGUAAGAUGUUGUUUGCAGUUUCAAUAACACAUCGAUAAAAACAAACAAAAAAUGUUAGGAUGGCUAGCGUAAAACUGCU